AUGGAGCAAAACAGCACGCUUCUUCAGCGCGUGCUGCAGAAGGCAGCACGAGCAGCAAGAACCAUCGCUUACCUCCGCCCAUCUCCUCCUCCGACACCGUCAACACCCUGCCGCCGUCUCCCGCCCAGCCUGCUGGACUGCACUGACGACGACGACGGCGGGUCUCCGAGCUUCCACACGGCGGCAAGCACGCCAGCGGAGACGCCGCCGUCCGUCCACUCGACGACAGACAGCCCUGGCUCCGCCGACAUCGACAGCCGCGCCGCGGAGUUCAUCGAGCAGUUCCGGCGAAACGCGUCCCUCGAGCUGCGGUACUGCUCCCCGGUGACCCCCGCCAGGCCGCCCGCGUCGCCGGACACCUAA
rnacentral:rRNA from 1 species